CCUACGGGAGGCAGCAGUGAGGAAUAUUGGUCAAUGGGCGGGAGCCUGAACCAGCCAAGCCGCGUGAGGGAAGAAGGUACAGCGUAUCGUAAACCUCUUUUGUCAGGGAACAAAGGCGGGGACUAGUCCCCGGAUGAGGGUACAUGAAGAAAAAGCAUCGGCUAACUCCGUGCCAGCAGCCGCGGUAAUACGGAGGAUGCGAGCGUUAUCCGGAUUUAUUGGGUUGAAAGGGUGCGCAGGCGGCCUGUUAAGUCAGCGGUAAAAGACCGGGGCUCAACCCCGGCGAGCCGUUGAAACUGGCGGGCUGGAGUUGGAGAGAAGUACGCGGAAUGCGCGGUGUAGCGGUGAAAUGCUUAGAUAUCGCGCAGAACCCCGAUUGCGAAGGCAGCAUACCGGCGGCGAUCUGACGCUGAGGCACGAAAGCGUGGGUAUCGAACAGGAUUAGAUACCCUGGUAGUC
rnacentral:rRNA from 1 species